UAUUGCCGUCCUAUAAAAUUUUCCCUUGAGCUUCAGUGGCCUACGACGGUCACACAACACGCCGGAUGCACUCUUCCACUUCAUCCAUCCAGCUUGUAUUCUAUGGUUGAGAUCUCCAUCUAAUUCUCCGUUCUUUUGCAAGAUAGAUCCUAGGUAGCGAAAACGGUCGCUCUUUGGUAUUACCUGAUCUCCGAUCCUCGCCCCUAACUCAUUUUGGCCUCCAU
rnacentral:lncRNA from 1 species